rnacentral:RNase_P_RNA from 1 species
GAGGAAAGUCCGGGCACCAUAGGACAGGGUGGUGGGUAACGCCCACCGGCCGUAAGGUUAGGGAAAGUGCCACAGAAAAUACACCGCCUAAGGGGAGCUGUUAGCGUUUGGCCUUUAGCUCUUAGCCAGACAAUCGUCUGGCUAAUGGCUGACCGCUAAUAGCUAACAGCUUGCCCGGUAAGGGUGAAAAGGUGCGGUAAGAGCGCACCAGCAGGCGAGGUGACUCGCCUGGCUCGGUAAACCCCGCCCGGUGCAAGACCAAGCGGAGAGCAUGAGCCGGUCCGGCUCGCUACGACUCUCGGGUAGGUCGCUAGAGGCCGCGGGCAACCGUGGUCGUAGAGGAAUGAUCGCCAAAUCGCUUCGGCGGAUACAGAAUCCGGCUUA